GGCCGGUUAGCUCAGUCAGUUGAGCGUGGCACUAACACUGCCAAGGUCGUGGGUUCAAUUCCCGUUCCAUCCC
rfam:Apaloderma vittatum contig12653, whole genome shotgun sequence.